UUGACCUCAAAUCGAGUAGGACCACCCGCUGAACUUAAGCAUAUCAAUAAGCGGAGGAAAAGAAACUAACAAGGAUUCCCCUAGUAACGGCGAGUGAAGAGGGAAGAGCUCAAAUUUUGAAUCUGGCGUCUCUGGCGUCCGAAUUGUAAUCUAGAGAAGUGUUUUCCGUGACGGACCGUGCAUAAGUCUCCUGGAAUGGAGCGUCAUAGAGGGUGAGAAUCCCGUAUAUGGCAUGGACUCCCGUUGCUCUGUGAUACACUCUCGACGAGUCGAGUUGUUUGGGAAUGCAGCUCUAAAUGGGUGGUAAAUGCCAUCUAAAGCUAAAUAUUGGCGAGAGACCGAUAGCGAACAAGUACCGUGAGGGAAAGAUGAAAAGCACUUUGGAAAGAGAGUGAAACAGUACGUGAAAUUGUUGAAAGGGAA
rnacentral:rRNA from 1 species